GAGAGAGAUAGGGACAGGGAGAGAGACAGGAAUAGGGAGGGAAGGAAGAAAGGAAGAAUUUGUUAAGUAAUUAACAAAUUUUAAGCACUGAGGACUACAAGUAGAAAAAAAAAGAGAGAGAGAGAGAUAGUUCCUGAUCUCAAGGAACUGUUCCCGUAAUCAGAGACAACAAAUGAAAAGUGUGACUGCAAGGCAGAUACAAAAGACCCCCAAAGACCUGUAUGUACCAAAAUGUUUGUGGCAGCCCUUUUUGUAGUGUCUAGAAACUGGAAAAUGAAUGGAUGCCCAUCAAUUGAAGAAUGGUUGGGUAAAUUGUGGUAUAUGAAUGUUAUGGAAUAUUAUUGUUCUGUAAGAAACGGCCAGCAGGAUGAAUACAAAGAGGCCUGAAGAGACUUACAUGAAUUGAUGCUAAGUGAAAUAAGCAGAACUAGGAGAUCAUUAUAUACUUCAACAACAAUACUGUAUGAGGAUGUAUUCUGAUGGCAAUGGAUUUCUUCGACAAUGAGAAGAUCCAAUUCAGUUCUCACUGAUCAAUGAUAGAAUCAGCUACACCCAGAGAAAGAACACUGGGAAAUGAAUGUGGACUACUUGCAUCUUUGUUUUUCUUCCCAGGUUACUGUACACAUAUAUUAUAUUUAAGACAUACUUUAACAUGUUUAGCAAGUAUGAAACUGCCUACCAUCUAGGGGAGGGGGUGGAGGGAGAGAAGGGAAAAGAUGGAACAGAAGUGAGUGCAAGGGACAGUGUUGAAAAAUUACCCACAUAUAUGUUCUGUCAAUAAAAAGCUAUAAUAAAAAAAAGCCCCCAAAUCCUAAUUCAUGGACAGGGCAAGUGGGGAGUACUUUGGAUAAAUCAACAAGCCAGAUGACAAUGCUCAAUAGGUCUCAAAGUUGUAGAGACAGAUCAAGUGGUAAAACUUGGUGGUCUUCCAUUUCACCAGAAGCAUUAGAGUUCAGAUUUCCCAGGUCAUCCAAGCAGUGUAAGCAGCCAUUUUACUCUUCCCAACUGACCUGGGGCAGAGAAGGGAAAGCAAAGGAGAAAAACAGCUCAAGUGUUCAUCAUUUAGUGGGAUCAAUAGAAAACUAGAAAUAUGAGACUUUUUUUUUCUAUUCAACAGUAAAUUUUCUCUUUUUUAACCUCUUCUUGGGAACAAAAAAAAUGUGUUUUUUUUUUUUUAAAAGGAUCUGGAUUCAUUAAAAAACCUUUAUGGUUACCCCUGAGAGUCUGAAAGGCCAUGAUUUCAAAGCCAUCAUUUUUUCAUUUAGUCCCCCAAAAAAUAUUGCUGUUUAGAAUGUCAUAGAUAGAUUCUUCCCAAAAGGCUUAUCUCAGCUCCCCUCUGACACUGGUGGCAGAAGGUCUGGACAGAUUAAGCACUUUAGAAAGAGGUCCUGCAAUGCUCAUCUUAGUUACUUAAUAUUUUUUUAAAUGAAAGAAUCUUCCUUCCUUUCGUCCUUCCUUCCCUUCUCCCCUUUCUCUCUAUCUUUGUCUCUCUGUCUCUCUCUGUGUGUCUCUCUAUGCCUCUCUGUUUUGUUCUCUUUGUGUCUGUGUCUAUCUGUCUCUCUCUUACCCACCUUGAGGCUACUAUUAAAAAAACAAACAAACAAGCAUCUUUUACUCUGGAAAGAUACUUUAUGUCCUUAGAAUUUGUGGUUACUUUUCCUCUAAAGACUCUAGGAGUAACUUUGAGGGACUUGGCAGUGGUUUCUUUAGCACUAAGAUUCAUGAACCCCCACCAAUGUGCUUCUGCCUUUAAUUAUCGAUUGAUAUCAGUUAGCCAGCCAGCAUUAAUUAGUUUUUAAAAGUGGACUCAGCUUAGAAAUCAUAUGUAACAAAGAUCUUAUUCAUCCUUAAAAUAAAAUAAAACAAAAUAAAAACCCCUCAUUUAAUCCUGACAAGCCCAAACUACCAUCCUACUAUGUAUUUUUUUCUCCCUCUCACUAUCCAACUCCUAUUUUUAAAAAAUCUCCAAUUCCUGAUUCUACCUUCUCAUCACUCACUUAUUUCUUAAGCCUUAUAAUCUGCCUUCUGAUACCACCAUUUUACUGAAACUGUUCUAAGGUUACCAGAUGACCUUUUCUUAGUCCUCCAUCCCCUUCUCUCUUUCUGUCAUUUUUGAUACUGAUUAGCCCUGUGUUGGGACCUAUUCUAACACUCCAGUCUUUUAUUGAAUAUUGGUUCAUUUUAUAGAUAUAAAACAUUCCAGUAUGUUAAGAAUUGAACAAUGGGCCCUGGAUAGAUAUUGAUCACUAUUUCUAAAGCCUAUUUUAGAGAGUAAUUCAGGAGAGUUGAGUUAUCAUCAGACCAUAAAUACACAGCACCUUUUUUCUGUUUUACUAUUCCCUCCCCUACCUCAUUCCUCACACCUUAAGAGUUCAUGUUCACCUGUGUGAAGGAUAAGCUCCUAUGCAUUGAAAAAGAUUUUCAGAAUCUAGCCAAACAUAAAGAGCAGGUUCCUAUCUCUUAUGAGAAAAGGCUUGAAGGCAGCUAGCUAUAAAAUGAGUCAGAUAGGUAGUGAUGUUAAACAUAAGUGAAUAGUUAAACAAAAUAUGAGGGAUUUUUUUCCUCCUCUUCUGUCAAGUAAUUAUGCCCAAAGAUUCAAAUGAAUAUAUCUGGGAGCAGAGACAGUAGAUAACAUGAUGCUUUUUCAGAAUUUACUGACUGACCUAGAAUUCUGGAAAAGCCUGAAAAGCUUGCUAGAGCAUACUAGUUAUGGAAUCUUUCCUGUCCAGUAGAGGAAAGCUGGAAAGACCUAUCUGUGAACUGCUGUCCAGGUUGACCUUCAUCCCCUCCAAUAAUCACAUUGGAAAUUACCAACACUCCUAUCGCUAGCUAUUGGAGACCUCAAUUAGAUAUCAAACAUCCUUCAAUAAAUCUCAUUUGGUUUUAUAAGUUUUGUUAAAAGUUCCCUCUUAUACACUGUGACAUAUUUAACUUGUAUAGGACUGCUCGCCAUCUAGGGGAGGGGGUGAAGGGAAGGAGGGGAAAAGUUGGAACAGGAGUGCAAGGGAUAAUGUUGUAAAAAAAAAAAAAAAAAUUACCCAGGCAUGGGCUCUGUCAAUAAAAAGUUAUAAUUAAAAAAAAAAAAGUAAAUACAACAUUUUAUGGAUUAACAUAAAAAAAAAAGGUUCCCUCCUAAAUGUGAAUGCCAUUUUAUUUUAAAAUCACUCAUUUGCAGAGGCUGUUACCAGCCUCAUACCAGGGUAUGAGAAAGUAAUCAAUUCUCUAUCUCAUUUUAAGGAAGCAUCCUACAAAUCUAGAGAAAUAGUACUAAUUCAAAUUGUUGCCAUGAAUGAGACUAAUUCAAUGCAUACUGUUCUAAACAUUCUUUUACCCUUGGUUUCCAUGGCGCUGUUCUUUCUUGAUUCUAUUUUCCUAUCUUUCUAACUGCUCCUUCUCAUUCUUCUUUGCUUAAUUAUCAUCUGUCAUUUCCUAUAGUGUGGUUCUCCUCUGAGCUUAGUCUUAGGGUUUUUCCUUUCUUGACACUUUUUCAGAGAUUUCACCAGUUCUGAUGAGCUCAAGUAUUGCCUCUAACAGCCAUUAUCUUUUUCUUGAACUCAGUCUAGUUUUAUUGCUUAGUUAUGACUCUUUGUGACCACAUUUGGGAUUUUCUUGGCAAAGAUACUAGGAAUAAUUUGGCAUUUCCUUUUCUAGCUCCUUUUACACAUGAAAGAAAUUGAGGCAAACUAGGUUAAGUGACUUGUCAAGGGUCACACAGCUAGUAAAUUUCUGAGGCCAGAUUUAAACUCAAAAAGAUGAGUCUUUCUGAUUUCAGGCCCAACACACUAUGCACUAGGCCACAAGUGGCAGAGUGGACUUACCAACAACUUCAUGAGGAAUCCCUUCCUUGAUAUCUUAUGUACAUCUUAAACUCAAAAUGCCCAAGAAAGCCAUGUCAUUUUCUCCCAAUCCUCUUCCUCCAAACUUCUGUUGAGAUCACCAUCUUUAUAGUUAUUCAUGUUCAUUACCUAUAUGUCAUUCUCUCUUCCCUUCCUUGUAUCCAAGCUGUUGCCAGAUCUCAUCAGUUUUAUCUCCAUAAUAUCUUUUCUAUCUGUAUUCUUUUCUUUCAAAUAGCCAUUAUCCGUACAGAUAUUAUCAUUUCUUACCUAGACUAUAAUAGCCUCCUACUUAGAUUUUGUUUCCAGUCUCUUUCUCUUUAUUCUUUAUGCAACCUAUGCCCCCUUCUCAAAAACCUUCAAUUCUUAGCAAUAAUAAACUGUUCUUAAGCUUUUCAUUUAAAGCUUUCAGUCUCCCAUCUAUAUUUCCAGAAUGAUUUCAAACCCAUUAUCUUUCAUGAAUUCUACAAUUCUUCCAAAAUAGACUACUAACCACCUCUUGAAUUUGAUGGUACCUUUCUAGUCUUCACAUAUUCACCCAGGGUAUUGAUCUCUCAUACCUGGAAUUCACUUCUUCAUCUCAGUCUGUUCUUCAAAACUUAGAUCAUGUGCCAACAUCUAAAGCUAAUCUUUAAAUUUUACUAUUUGUUAGUACCCUUAUCCUUCUCUAUUUGCAAGGAAAUUAUAAGGAAAAUAGAGGAUGAAAGUACUAUAGGGUAUACUAUACUAUGACAUACAAAUAGUCCUAUUCUAAUGACUUAUAAUGUAAAAGGAACUCAAGAGUCUCAAAGGUUAUAACAGCUAACAUAACUUUGUCAGAUUCUACCAUGGUAGAAAUAUCUUGGCUGUCAUCCCAGCAAUUGAUUGAAUCUGCCUUCUAAGAAUCUAAACGUGUGGAGGCCCACUAUCAGAUAGGUUAAUUUUAUAAAACUAUUUUCUUUCUUUUUCCUCCCUUUUUUUUUUUUUUUUUUUUUUUGUUGCAAGGAUGGUUUAAUGGACAGAAGGGAAGGAUAGGAUCUAAGAAAUAAAAGUGAUACAAAACAAAAGAUAUCAAUAAGAUAUUAUUUUUAAAAUUUUAAUAGUAUUUUAUUUUAUUUUUUCUAAUUACAGGUGAAAUACAAUUUUAGAAAUCAUUUUUCUCACUUUGGGGAAAUUAUAGAGUUUUUAUUUUUAAUACACAUUGUUUUAGAAUUAUGUUGGGAGAGAAAAAUCAGAGCAAAUGGGAAAAACUAUGAGAGAGAUAAAAAAACAGAAAAAAGAAGUGAACAUAGCAUGUGUUGAUUUAUAUUCAGUCUCCAUAGUCUUUUUCUGGUUGCAGAUGGCAUUUUCUGUUCAAAGUCUAUUGAGAUUCCUUUGGAUUACUGAACUACUGAGAAGAACCAAGUCUUUCAUAGUUGAUCAUCGCACAUUCUUGCUGUUGUUGUGUGCAAUGUAUUCCUGGUGCUACUUGUUCAAUAAGAUAUUAUUAAAAGAAGAAAUAUUAAAUUCAAUUAAACUAAGAUGGUUCAAGUCCCAUCUCUGAUAUUUGCUAUUAUCACUCACCCUUUGAGUUCCCACCUUUCUGAGACUCACUUUUUUAAAAUCUGUUCAACAAGAAUAAUAUUAUUGACUUAUCUUGUAGGGAAGCACUUUGUAAACCUUAUAGAAAUGAUCUGUCAUUAUUUUAUUAUAUUACAAAUACAGGAUAAAUAGGCCUAUGUUUCUGACACUUGCAUGCCCUCUACAGCACAAAUUAAUAGCUCAAAAUAUAACAUUUUCUCUUUUUAAAAAAAUUUUUAUUAUAUUUUUUGCGUACUUUUUAAAUUUUAUUUUCCUCUCCCCCCCUUUCAUUUCCCCCUCUCCAAUCCAAGCAGGCUAUAGUUAAGAAAAGCUAUUUAUGUGUAUAUAUAUGUAAAUAUACAUACAUACACAUACAUACACACACACCUUGCCCUGUCUACACACAUAUAUCUUUCCCAUCCUGCUGACUCUUUGCUUUAAUUCUCCUUUAUAAUUUGCCUUGCUAUAACUUAGUCUUCUUCCCCUCAUGGAUCCCCCCCACCUUGUUUUCUUCCCAUACUUUUUACUUCCCUGCCCACCUAUCACUCUUCCCUUAUUUCUUUAUGGAUUUUGGAGAGUGCUGUACCCUUCAUAGUAUAUAUGUAGUGUUGCCUUUUUAAUCCAUUCCUGAUGUGAGUUUUCAGAACUAUGAAAACUCUUCCCUCCCUCUAAUGUUUUUUGUGUCUAUUCUUUCUCUGUACCUCAAAAUAUAUUUUCUUACAAGUUACUUAGAUAUUGAGAGGAAAUAUGAUAUCAUGUUUUUUAUUUUUUUAUUAAAGCUUUUUAUUUUUCAAAACAUAUGUGUGGACAAUUCUUUAACAUUAGUCCUUGCAAAAUCUUGUUCUAAUUUUCCUUCCCUUCCCCCAUGCCCUCCCCUAGAUGGUAAGUAGUCCAAUAUAUAUUAAACCUGGUAGAAAUAUAUAUUAAAUCCAAUAUAUGCAUAUAUGUUUAUACAAUUAUUGUGCUGCACAAGAAAAAUCAAAGUUAAAAAAAAGUAGAAUAAAAUGCAAGCAAGCAACUUUUAUUGUGUGAAAGAGUGAAAAUGUUAUGUUGUGAACUAUGUUCAAUUCCCACAAUCCUCUCUCUGAGUAUAGAUGAUUCUCUUCCUCAUUGAACAAUUGGAACUGGUUUGAAUCAUCUCAUUGUUGAAGAGAGCCACAUAUAUCAGAAUUGAUUAUUGUAUAAUCUUGUUGUUGCUAUAUAUAAUGAUCUCCUGGUUCUGCUUAUUUCACUUAGUAUCAGUUCAUGUAAGUCUCUCCAGGCCUCUUUGAAAUCAUCCUGAUGUUAUGAUGUUUAAAGAAUAUACAUGAAGUCAAGAAUACAUGGGUUCUUACCUAACCAGGGUGUUCCUUAAAAUGAAAGGUGGGUUAGUAAAUGUUUAACAAUUGACCCCCCCCCCCCAAAAAAAAAAUUCUGCGUCAUAUUUAUAAGCUUAAUCUCUAUGAGUUACAUUGAUCCAUCACUUUAUUAAGUUUAGAUAAUUAAGAAAGCACUAAACCAAGUCCUGAUUUGUAAUGCCUGCUGAUUUUCGUUUAAAUGUUUACACUGAAAAUUUAACAAUUUAACAAUCAGUAUUUAGGUGCUCUAAGAAGACAACUCUAGCAUUUCCCAGGCCUAUACUAGUGAAAUCAAAAGUUCAGUCCCUAUUCUCCAUUUUCAAUUGUUAAAAGAUCUUUUUUUUUUUUUCAGUGAAGAAUAGUAUAGUGUAGAUGGGCAAUAUACAACAGUUAUAGCUGGAUUCAAAUCCUAGCUCUCAUAGCUUUUCUAUCUGAGUGACCUUGAGCAAUUAAAUCUCUUCCCAAUGCUGAGCCUGAGUUUCUUCAUCUAUCAAAUGAAGGGACUGAACUAAAAUGGCUUCUAAAGUCAUUCUGAGAAGCUGUGAUUGUGCAUUGCUAGUGCUAUUGCCACUGAGAGCAAGCUUUCAGCUCUGGCCCUAGUUAUUUCUGAGUUUGAGAUAAUAAAAGUACUUUUAGCAGGACACCAACAUUCUACAUUCUUUGUGCAAACUGAAAUUGCUCAAAAUCUCUUUUCCUGGAGAAAUUCAGACCUUCUGCUUUUUGGCUUCUCAUUGGGAAAGAGAAGAAGAAAAAAAAAAAAAAAGAAAGAAGAGGAGGAGGAGCAGGAGGAGGAGGAGAAGAAGAACCUCAAAAAUGUUUUUUUUAAAGACUAUGAUUUGAAGGUGAUUACUCUAAAACAUGAUGUUACCUCAAGUCAAAGUUACUAGCUACAACUUUAGGAUGACCCAAAUAGACUCUCUCCUAGAAAGGCUUAUCUUAGCUCUUCCCCAACACUGAUCAUAUAAGGGCUAGAGAGAUUAGGUACAUUUAGUAAGAGUUCCAGUAAUAUUUAUCUUAAUCACUUUUUUAAAAAUGAAAGAAUCAUGUUCUUUGGGCUGAGUGCACAAGAUACAUAGAAGAACUUAUAAAUCAUGGAAUUUGGGGUUAGUAAAUACAUAAGAGAUUAUCUGUUUUGACUGCCCAUUUCACAGAAGAGGAAAAUUAAAAUUCAAGGAAAGAAAGUGACAUGUUUAAGAUUAUACAUUUAGGAAAUGGAAGACCCAGGACUAGAUCUUUAAUAUAUUGACUACUAGUAGAUAAUCUUUUCUGUCCAUUUCUGUUAGAUAGAAUGCUAGACCUGGAAUCAGGAAGACCUGAGUUCAAACAUGGCCUCAAAUAUUUAUUAUAUCACUAUAGGAAAGUCACUUAUCCUCUGUUUGCCUCAGUUUACUCAUUUAUUAAAAAAAAGAGGAUAAUUAAUCACACCUAUCUCAUAAGAUUGUUAAGAAGAACAGUGACAUAACAAUUACAAAGCACUAGUAUAAUGCCUGACAUAAAAUGCUUUAGAAACAUUAACUACCUAGCUUCUUCUCUAUUUCUAAUGAAGUUCUUUCCAACUAUUAAGGGCAAAUAGAGUCUUUUUUUAUAUCAUGACUUGUUCCAAGUCCCACUAAUAAAUGGCAAAGUCAUAUAUUCCAUCUCAGAUCCUCCCACACACAAAGUUCAAUGUUCUUGAAUUCAGGUUAAUUCAAUAAGUAUGUAUAAAACAUCUUAUGUGUCAGAAAUUGUGGUAGUUAUUGGGGACAUGUAGAUAAAAACCAAACAGCCCCUGCCUUUACAUAAUUUAUAUUCUACCAUAAGAUAAUAUGUAUCUUGAGAUAUAGGUACAAAAUACGUGUAAAGUAAUAUAAGGUAAUUUUAAGGAGAAAAAUAUAUUAGGGAUAUCACAAGGGGCCUCACAAAUGACCUGACAACUGAACUGUGCUUUGAAGUAGGUCAAGAAUUUCAAAAGGCAGAUAUGAUGAGAGAUUAUAUUCUAGACCUGUCAUAGAAAUAGGACAUAGAAUGUUGUGUACAGAGCACAACCAGCAGUACAGUUUGACUUAAGUGAAGAGUAUAAAAAGGAACACAAUAAAAAACAAACUUUGCAGGGAAAUGGGAAUGAAGAGCUUCAAAUUUCAGGCUGAGGAUUUUGCAUUUUAUCUUAGAGGCAAUAAAAAUAUUUUUUAGUAGAUUGGAAGCAUGAUCAGACUUAAGUUUUAGAAAGAUUACUUUGGCUACUCUAUGAAGAAUAGAUUGGAGAAGAAAGAAGCUGGAAGCAGGUGAACCAUUUAUGAAUCUCUUACAGAUCCAGGUAAAAAGGCAGAUGGCAAAUAAAACUGUGGAGUCAAUGAAUGUUGUUAUUGUUGUUCUGUUGUUUUCAGUAGUGCCUAACUCUUAGUUGAACCCAUUUGAAGUUUUCUUGGCAAAGACACUGGAGUGCUUUGCCAUUUCCUUCUCCAGCUCAUUUUACAGAUAAGGAAACUAAGGCAAACUCAAUUAAAUAACUUGUCAAGGAUUACAUAUCUGGAAAAUAUCUAAGGCAAGAUUUGAACUUAGGAAGAUGAGUUUUCUUGACUUCAGGCCCUGUACUGAAUCACCUAGUUGCAGUUCAAUGAAUAUAGAUGACUUUUUCUAGGAGUGUUAUCAUAAAAAAGACCAGAGCUAUAGGCAGUAGCUUUAGGGGAUUGCAGGGUCAAAUAAAAGUUUCUUUUUAUUUUUUUAAGAAUAAGUAGGAUAAUAUCUUAUUUGUAUGGAACUAGGAAGAAGUCAAUGAAUAAGGAGUGGUUAAAGAUAAAAGAAAGAAAAUAAUAGAAGGGAUAAGCUACUAGAGAAGGUGAAAGAAGUUGGCAUAGGAACCCACGUGGAGGGGUUGGUCUUGGCCAGGAAAUCUAAUUCUUCAUCAGAGACUAGAGCAAAAGAAGAGAGAAUGUGGGCUAAUGAAGAGGGGUUCUUGAUAUGUACAGUAGCAAUAAGAGGGAGCUCCAAAUGAAUAGUCUAAGUUUUCUCAGUAAACUGGGAAGAAAUGUCUUCCAUAUAGGAAAUGGACAGUAUUUGGUGGAGGAAAUUGGGAAAGAGAGCAGAAGGUAUGUAAUAGCUAUGAUAGUGUGUGUGAUAAGACCCACAUUUUAAAAAAAAAAAAAAAAAAAGGAUUGCAACCAGGCAAUGAUGGUCUAGUUUGGCUUAAAUUAAUUAAAUGAAUAAAUUUGGUUUGAAAAAACAAACUUGACUUAAUUAGAUAAAUUAAUAGACAAUGGGGUACAUAGAAAGAAACUAUAAGUGCUAUAUAUUUGUUGGAUGAUUUUAGGAGUCAUUAAGUUCUCAGUUUUUUCUUUUGUAAAAAUGAACAGGGUUGGCUAGCUAAUCCCUAAGACCCUUUUCCCACUCUUCAGAUUGGAAAAAUAAAGCUCCCCACUCUACCCCAAUAUAAAGAGAAUUGUUUGGAUUGCAUUUGGAAGGUGUUCAAUACUUUUAAUAAACCCAAACUCUUAAUUUUUAAAAUUAUUGCUAUCAUUCCCCAAUGCCUAUGACCCCUUCCACCCUCUCACAUCCCAAUUGCUGAUAAAAUCAGUCCUUGUCACCAAAUUUAAUUAGGCAAAACAAACCAACACAAUGACCAUGUAUAACAACAUGUACCUCAUUCCCCACCUAUUCCACCAUUUCUCUUUUCCAAGAAGAAGUUAUAGUUUAACUAUUCAGUCCUCCAGAAUCAAGAGAGGUCAGUAUUCUGUUGUCUUUCAGGUUUUUUUUCCUCUCAACAUCACUGUGAUUAUCAAGAAACUAAUGAUAUCAUUCUAAUGAUAUAAUAUAGAAAGAAAUUAUGAAGCACCAGAACCACCAACAUUGGAAGCAAUGGAGAUCUGGAUGGUGAGCACAAUCAUGCCUUGUUGACCACAAGUGGCAUCACAAAAUACCAAUGUUUGGGGGGAAGAGGAAGAGUUGGAGAGCAUGACCAGUGCACAUCAAUGAUGCAAUAUCCACAAGGAAACUGGAGAAACAGCUUCCAGAAAGGCCGUAUGAUAUGUGAUAGAAGGACCCUGCUUCAUGAUCUCAAGUAUGUGCAAGAUAUUCUGUAACUAUUUCUGAUCUACUCAUUAUAUAUAUAAUGAAGAAGAGUCAUUUUGAUUAACUGUAGAACCAAAAUUUUGGUGCUUCUUCAUUUUCUACCAACUUCUAUCUUGUGAGAGAGACAUGUCAGUGGGAAAAGAAACCUUAGGCUCUUAUUCUCCCGCCAGGACCAUGAUGUUGCUAUAUUUGUUAUGUCUGGUUUUUCAUGUUUUUACAUAAAGAAAUACUAGAAAUUACUACACCUUAUUAACUUUGAAAGAUCAUAAAGAGGGAGCCACCAGUAGCAAAGAAGCUGGGCCCCAUGUCAGAAUUAGACAGGAGCCAGAUAGUGAGUGGCAAAGUUUCAAACAACUUGUUUCCCAAAGUAGAGUGAAAGCAGUCAAAAGGGGAACCUACUGUUGUUCAUUCAUCCCCUGACUAUGGCAAAUUUAUAUAUGAAUUUGUUGGCAUAAAUGCUAUGUAGAAGCUGUUUUAAGUUUGAGAUGAUUCUCCCCAGUGACCAACAUGGUACAGGGAAGAAUGUGUCCCUACAUGUUAGGGAGAAAUACUUAGUAAUUUCUAUUCUGGUUAUAUUAUCAAUCAAUCAAUAAGCAUUUAUUAAGUGUCUACUGUAUACCAGGCAUAUAUAAGCAAUCCUUUAUAUAACAGCUAAUUUGCAUUAAUUGAUUAAAUGCAACUGGGGCCUAAUCACUGCUAGUUAAUGUUGGAGAGAACAUACCAGGAUGCGCUCUACAAAGGAUAGCUUUAGAGAAGGAUCACUCCAAUAUGUAAAAACUUGAGGGGGAAAUGUAGCCAGAUUCUCUCUGGAAAAGUGAAUUCUGAGUCUAAUUCUGUUCUUUUAAAUAAGUUUUUAUUGGUUUCUUCUAUUCUUACAUUAUCUUCAUUAUCCCCAGUAUCUUUUUCUUAUCUCCUCCCAGAGAACCAUCCCAUAUAACAAAUAACAUUUUUCAAAGAAGAAGAAAAGACAUUGAAGAAGUCUGAAAACACAUGCAAUAUGUAAUCUUUAUACACUUCCCAACUCAACAAAGAGAUGUGUUGUGGGUAUCUUCUCAUAUCUUUUCAUUCAAGUCAUACUUGAUCUAUAAUUUAUAAAAUUGAUAUAUAAUUUGACUAUAAUUAUAAUUAUUCAUUUAAUGCUAUAAAUAUUAUAAUUAAUAAUUAUAAUUUUAUUUGUAAUUUAUAAUAUUGAUUUAUUUUAUUAAAUUUCCCUUUGAUUUUUUUGGUGUAUCAUUGUUCCAUUUACAUUGUUGUAGUUACUGUGUAUUUUUCCUUGACUCUAAUUACUUACUAUGUAUCCAAUGAACAUGGAUUUUCCAUGCUUCUGUGUAUUAAGCAUAUCCACCAUUUCUUACAGCAUAAUAAUAUUCUAUUACAUUCACGUAUUACAAUUUAUUUAGCCAUUUCAUAAUUGAUAGGCAUCUAUUUGGUUUGUGAUUCUUUGCUUUCACAAAAAAAGUGCUAUUGUAAAUAUUUCAGUGGAUAUGGGAAUUUUGUUUUUAUCAAUGACUUCCUUGCAGCAUAACCUUUUUCUAUGUUUGUUACAUAAAUGUACUCACUUCAGGGAAAGGUGAAUGAAGAAGGGAUGUAUAUAAAAAUGUGAUGUAAAAAGGACAUCAUAAAACUUGAAAAGUAAAAAAAUUCCAUACAAUCUGGAAAACAUAUGAUCAGAAAAGCUCAUGGAAGGGCACCCAGCGAAGUGAGUAAUUAGAGGAUAAUCUUUAGAAAAGGAAAUCCUCAUCUAAAACUUCCUGAGGGCCACCUCUAAUAUUCAAGAACAAAGCAAAAUCUUUAUAUGUGUUUACUACUAGUGGCCACUAGAGAGAGUUGUAGGCCUUUAAAUAUUUCUGAUAAAGUCUAAAGGUAUUUUCCCAAAAUGUGAAGACAAAAAUGAAAAGAAAAAAAAAUAGAAAGAAAGAAGGAGAGAAGGAAUGAAAAGAAAGGAAGGAAAGAAGCAAGGAAGGAAGGAAGCAAGGAAGGAGAGAGAAGAGGAAGGAAUGAAGAAGGGAGAAAGGGAAAAAAGGAAAGGUCUCAUUUUGGUUUGGGGAACUGGUAAAGAAUGAAACUAAGAAAGAAGGUAUCAAUAAAAUAAAAAUUCCCAAGAUAGUUGUUGUUCAGCCCUUUCAGGCUUAAGCCUUUGUGACCUUAUUUCAGAUUUUCUUAGCAGAUACUUGAAUGGUUUGACAUUUCCUUCUACAGCUCAUUUCACAGAUGAUUUUACAGUUUGUGCCUUUGUAAAAUGAUAAGGUUGGGAUAGGUUGUCUGUAAGUCUUCUAGUGCCAGUUAUAUGAUCUUAUAAUAAAUGAUUACAUAGGAAGGCAGGGGAAGGAAAAAUGCAAAAUAGAUAGAUAGAUAGGUAGAUGAUAGAUGGAUAGACAGACAGAUGAAUUAACUAAUUGGUAAGUAAAUAAAUAUUGUUGAUCUGGAGAAAGGGAGCAGAAUGUACUCUAUUUCAAAGUAUACCUUGCUACUCUGAAAGAUCACAGUAAUCUCACCAGUGUAGUCAGUCUCUUGCCAGAUGAAAAUCCAUAUUUCAUGGAUUGCCUAUUAAUCAGAAAUUGAUCACUAAGUGGCCACCUUCUGCUGAUGAGCUUUUCUACAUUUGGCUAGGUUGGUUCUUGACUGGUUCCCAUAUUGUUUGGAUCUUCCAGAGCUUGCCCUCUCCUAUAUUUUAACAACCUUUUGAAAAUAGAAAAGAGUCUACCUCCAUUCCCCAUUCCCCAUCCCCCAGACACACACACACACACACGCACUCACGGGUACCUCUUCAAGAGAAAGAUUUUUGGCAAAAGAUUUUACAUCGGAAAUGGUGAGAAAUGUAUUUGCCAGGAUGAUAAAAGGUCUGGGAACCAUUUGUUGAAGAACUGGUGAAUAUAUGAUACUUGGAAUCUGGAAGAACUGAUCUGGGAUUUUAAUAUUUUGUAGAUAACAUGGAUAUAGUAUUAAAUAGUACUUUUGAUCCUAUGAAAACUGUGUAGAAGAGGGAUUAAUAGAUAGGUCUAGAAUAUCCCUCUUCCUAUCUUGGAGAGUCUGGAGUUCCACCACUAGUAAGAUUAAAAGGGUGGCUGUGACUGUGUAAUCUCACUCUUGAAAUCUUGUUUUCAAAGAAGAUAAAGGAAGGGAUGAAAUAAGCAUAUAAUAAGUGUCUGUGCACUAGGUCCUGGGCUAACCACUUUACAGAUCUUUCAUUUGAUCCUCAAAACAAUCCUGGGAGUUUCAUUGAAUCAAUUCAUUGAAUUCUCUCUCUCUCUCUCUCUCUCUCUCUCUCUCUCUCUCUCUCUCUCUCUUUAUAUAUUAUCUCUCUCUCU
ensembl:lncRNA